ensembl:snoRNA Gm25290 predicted gene, 25290
CCUUCUCUUUGUGGAGACCCGGUGUGCUGUCCUGUGCCCCGUUAUGUAAAAGGCAGAAGGAAAGGGCUCCAGCCCUCUUAGCACCAUGUCUUCAGUGCCUGUGGCCUCCUGUCCACCGGCUGUGUCCUCAGGUGUAGGAUACCA